rnacentral:rRNA from 1 species
AGAGUUUGAUCAUGGCUCAGAUUGAACGCUGGCGGCAUGCCUAACACAUGCAAGUCGAACGGUAACGCGGGGGCAACCCUGGCGACGAGUGGCGGACGGGUGAGUAAUACGUAGGAAUCUGCCCAUUUGUGGGGGAUAACCCGGCGAAAGCCGGGCUAAUACCGCAUACGCUCUACGGAGGAAAGCAGGGGAUCGUAAGACCUUGCGCUAAUGGAUGAGCCUACGUCGGAUUAGCUAGUUGGUAGGGUAACGGCCUACCAAGGCGACGAUCCGUAGCUGGUCUGAGAGGACGAUCAGCCACACUGGGACUGAGACACGGCCCAGACUCCUACGGGAGGCAGCAGUGGGGAAUAUUGGACAAUGGGGGCAACCCUGAUCCAGCAAUGCCGCGUGUGUGAAGAAGGCCUGCGGGUUGUAAAGCACUUUCAGAGGGGAAGAAAAAAUCGGAUCUAAUACAUCCGAGCUUGACGUUACCCGUAGAAGAAGCCCCGGCUAACUCC